GAGCACAAUUGGGAAAGGUCUACGAGGAAGAGGUUAUGUGAAAAGCCGUUGUUAGUACGAUCUAUCCAUAUUUACCUCUGAUCGAUUUAAGGGAAACAAUCCCGACAUUGUCCUUGUUGACCCUCUAAAAUUUUGAGACGAUCAGAGCUCGUUUGUACUUCAAACAUGGAUUUCCCUUCUUCGAAAUUGCGUUUGUCGAACACAAUAAAAUUUAAUUUGAAACUUCUAAUUUUUCUACUGUCUAAAACUCCUACCAUGUCUCAUAUACACAGCCAUAACAAAAGACCAACCACGCCUAUAAC
rnacentral:lncRNA from 1 species